rnacentral:rRNA from 1 species
GAUGAACGCUAGCGGCAGGCCUAAUACAUGCAAGUCGAGGGGUAGAAGAGGCUUGCUUCUUUGAGACCGGCGCACGGGUGCGUAACGCGUAUGCAACCUACCUUCAUCUGGGGGAUAGCCCGGAGAAAUCCGGAUUAAUACCGCAUAAAAUCACAGGAUGGCAUUAUCCAAUGAUCAAACAUUUAUGGGAUGGAGAUGGGCAUGCGUGUCAUUAGCUAGUUGGCGGGGUAACGGCCCACCAAGGCGACGAUGACUAGGGGAUCUGAGAGGAUGGCCCCCCACACUGGUACUGAGACACGGACCAGACUCCUACGGGAGGCAGCAGUAAGGAAUAUUGGUCAAUGGAGGCAACUCUGAACCAGCCAUGCCGCGUGCAGGAAGACUGCCCUAUGGGUUGUAAACUGCUUUUAUUCGGGAAUAAACCUUAUUACGUGUAAUAAGCUGAAUGUACCGAAGGAAUAAGGGUCGGCUAACUCCGUGCCAGCAGCCGCCGUAAAAC